CGCCGCCGCGGGAAUACAGAGGGUGCGAGCGUUAAUCGGAUUUACUGGGCGUAAAGCGUGCGUAGGCGGCUUCUUAAGUCGGAUGUGAAAUCCCUGAGCUUAACUUAGGAAUUGCAUUCGAUACUGGGAAGCUAGAGUAUGGGAGAGGAUGGUAGAAUUCCAGGUGUAGCGGUGAAAUGCGUAGAGAUCUGGAGGAAUACCGAUGGCGAAGGCAGCCAUCUGGCCUAAUACUGACGCUGAGGUACGAAAGCAUGGGGAGCAAACAGGAUUAGAUACCCCCGUAGUCCCUGUCUCUUAUACA
rnacentral:rRNA from 1 species